rnacentral:lncRNA from 1 species
UCAGGGGCCCGCCGGGGGCUCCGCCGCGGGCUGAGCCCGGCGUGGCGCUGCCAGGUGCUGUCCAAGGCUGCGAGCGCCGAGGAGGCGGCGGCGGCGCCGGACACGGAGGUGACGGUGCAGCUCUUCGACUCGGAGCCGCUGGCGCUGACGGUGCCCGGGCACAUCCCCUGGGACGAUCCCAAAUUCAUGGAGGUCGUGGCCGAGCAGGCGCUGCAGCGCUUCAAGGAGAACGCCGUAGAGUAGCCGGGCGAUGCCGCCGCCGCCCCUCCGGAUCCCCCUUCCCGGGGGGAAUUGUCCGUCCCCGCCAGCUCUCCCCUCCCGGCCCUCCCUGCUGCCAAACGGAAAAUAAAGGUAGAGUUCAACGCCCUGGCUCUGCCUCUGGAGUUUCUGGGAUAAUCCCAGGGGGAAAAGCAGGAAAAGCAGCCCCGGAGCUCUCGGCGGAGUCGGGAGUUGAGGAUUCGGGAUCUGUUCCCAAAUCUGACCCAGCAGGAGCCCCCCAGGGUUGGGGACCUGUCCCCAUCCUCCGGACACGGAUCCCUGUGCCAGCGCAGCCCCCGUCCUCUCCCAUCCCUGAGAAUUCCCAGAUUUCCGCAGGAUCCCCCCCGGAGAUCCCCGGGGAAGGGCAGAGAGGCUUUACUGGGAAUACAGACUCGGGAGUUUCUGGAUCCAGCCCCAGCCCCAAUCCCAAAAACCAUCCCAGACCCAGCCCCAAAUCCACCCCAAUCCCAUCCCAGUGUCCUGGGAAUGGGGAAAACUGGGAUGGGAGAGGAGAACUGGGAUGGGAGAGGGAAACUGGGAUGGGAGAGGGAAACUGGGAAUAUGGGGAUGGGAAACUGGGAUGGGGAGAGGGGAACUGGGAUGGGAGAGGGAAACUGGGAUUGGGGGAUGGGAACUGGGAUGGGAGAGGGGAACUGGGAUGGGGAGGGAGGGAAACUGGGAUGGGGGCUGGAAGCUGGAAUGGGGGAAAUGGGGGGCAAUCAUCUGCAGGAAUGGGAUUGGAAGCGGGAAUGGGGCUGGGAUUGGGAAUGGAGCUGGGAUCGGGAAUGGGGCUGGAAGCAGGAAUGGGGCUGGAAGCAGGAAUGGGGCUGGGAUGGGGAAUGGGGCUGGGAUUGGGAAUGGGGCUGAGAUUGGGAAUGGGGCUGGGAUCGGGAAUGGGGCUGGGAUUGGGAAUCUCACCUGCAGGGAUGGGGGUGAAAUUUGUGUGCCUCAGUUUCCCCUUCUGGCUCCCGGGCUCCAUCAGGAGCCUGGGAUCCACUGGGAUGGGCUGGGAUGGGCUGGGAUCCUGCUGGGAUCUGCUGGGAUGGGCUGGGAUGGGCCGGGAUCCUGCUGGGAUGGGCCGGGAUCCUGCUGGGAUCCCCUGGGAUCAACCGGGAUCCCCACGGGAGGAGCCGCCCUGCCUGGUCCGCCCUGCCCGGGCAGGUUUUGGGAUCCCCCCGGCUCUUCCCGGGAUUUCGGGGCGCGGAGGAGCCGCACGCGGAUCCGG